UGCACAAAAACAAACUUAAUAAAAAAAAAUUAAUAUAUAAUUUAAAUUUAAAAACUUAAAAAGUUUUAUUAAAAAAAUGUGUUUCUUGAUAAUAAACUUCAGUUGAUUAUGUUAGUUACUUUUUUUUAAAGUUAUUUCAUUUUCUAAAUGUGCUUUUUUUAUUAUAAAAAGUAAAGUAUAUUAUCUGUAUUGUAAUGGUGUUUAUGACAUUUAUAUUUAUAUUAGUUUCUUUAUUGUAUGUAAAAUGCCAAAAACUAGUUUUGUCAUUUGAGACAUUUGGGAAAAAAACUCUACAGACACAAGAUGAGUAUAACAAAGGAUCAAUACAAGGUCCAUCAGCAAAAAAAAUAAGAGUGAGUCAGUUGUUUGCUUGAUUGCAAAACAAAUAGGGUUCAUAACUAAUGCUGCUAGCAACAUAAUAAAAAUAAUGACACUUUUAAAGCAUAUAACUUAUACUAAUUUUUGUUACAAUCAUAGGUUUAAUACUUGUUUAAAUAGAGCAUUAAAAACAAAGGAAAAAAAUUUCUUUGAAUGAAAUUCAAGAUGCUCUUGACAUCUGCAUAAAAUUAUCUUUUCAUUCAUCAA